AAAAAAGGUAAGCUACUAAGAGCGAAUGGUGGAUGCCUUGACUGGUAAAGGCGAUGAAGGACGUACUAGACUGCGAUAAGCUACGGGGAGCUGUCAAGAAGCUUUGAUCCGUAGAUUUCCGAAUGGGGCAACCCAAUGUAUAGAGAUAUACAUUACCUAUAUAGGAGCGAACGAGGGGAAUUGAAACAUCUUAGUACCCUCAGGAAAAGAAAUCAAUAGAGAUUGCGUCAGUAGCGGCGAGCGAAAGCGCAAGAGGGCAAACCCAGUGCUUGCACUGGGGGUUGUAGGACUGCAAUGUGCAAGAGGUGAGUUUAGCAGAACAUUCUGGAAAGUAUAGCCAUAGAGGGUGAUAGUCCCGUAUGCGAAAAACAAACCUUAGCUAGCAGUAUCCUGAGUAGGGCGGGACACGAGAAAUCCUGUCUGAAGCUGGGUCGACCACGAUCCAACCCUAAAUACUAAUACCAGAUCGAUAGUGCACAAGUACCGUGAGGGAAAGGUGAAAAGAACUGAGGUGAUCAGAGUGAAAUAGAACCUGAAACCAUUUGCUUACAAUCAUUCAGAGCCCUAUGUAGCAAUACAGGGUGAUGGACUGCCUUUUGCAUAAUGAGCCUGCGAGUUGUGGUGUCUGGCAAGGUUAAGCAAACGCGAAGCCGUAGCGAAAGCGAGUCUGAAUAGGGCGCUUAGUCAGAUGCUGCAGACCCGAAACGAAGUGAUCUAUCCAUGAGCAAGUUGAAGCUAGUGUAAGAACUAGUGGAGGACUGAACCCAUAGGCGUUGAAAAGCCCCGGGAUGACUUGUGGAUAGGGGUGAAAGGCCAAUCAAACUUCGUGAUAGCUGGUUCUCUCCGAAAUAUAUUUAGGUAUAGCGUUGUGUCGUAAUAUAAGGGGGUAGAGCACUGAAUGGGCUAGGGCAUACACCAAUGUACCAAACCCUAUCAAACUCCGAAUACCUUAUAUGUAAUCACAGCAGUCAGGCGGCGAGUGAUAAAAUCCGUCGUCAAGAGGGAAACAACCCAGACUACCAGCUAAGGUCCCUAAAUCUUACUUAAGUGGAAAACGAUGUGAAGUUACUUAAACAACCAGGAGGUUGGCUUAGAAGCAGCCAUCCUUUAAAGAAAGCGUAAUAGCUCACUGGUCUAGUGAUUUUGCGCGGAAAAUAUAACGGGGCUAAAGUAAGUACCGAAGCUGUAGACUUGCGCACAACUUAGAUUAUUUAAGUUUAGAAUAUGAGAAACUAAGUUAUAUGUUUAGUUAUAUUUUUACUGAUUUUUAUAGAGUAAAGAUAGAAAUAAAACUUAGUAAAAUCAGUAAAAAUAUUCUUAGACUAAAGUUAAGUAGUUUAAGUUGUGUGCAAGUGGUAGGAGAGCGUUCUAUUUGCGUCGAAGGUAUACCGGUAAGGAGUGCUGGAGCGAAUAGAAGUGAGCAUGCAGGCAUGAGUAGCGAUAAUUAAUGUGAGAAUCAUUAACGCCGUAAACCCAAGGUUUCCUACGCGAUGCUCGUCAUCGUAGGGUUAGUCGGGUCCUAAGUCGAGUCCGAAAGGGGUAGACGAUGGCAAAUUGGUUAAUAUUCCAAUACCAACAUUAGUGUGCGAUGGAAGGACGCUUAGGGCUAAGGGGGCUAGCGGAUGGAAGUGCUAGUCUAAGGUCGUAGGAGGUUAUACAGGCAAAUCCGUAUAACAAUACUCCGAGAACUGAAAGGCUUUUUGAAGUCUUCGGAUGGAUAGAAGAACCCCUGAUGCCGUCGAGCCAAGAAAAGUUUCUAAGUUUAGCUAAUGUUGCCCGUACCGUAAACCGACACAGGUGGGUGGGAUGAGUAUUCUAAGGCGCGUGGAAGAACUCUCUUUAAGGAACUCUGCAAAAUAGCACCGUAUCUUCGGUAUAAGGUGUGGUUCGCUUCGUAUUAGGAUUUACUCCGAAAGCGAAGAAACUUACAACAAAGAGUCCCUCCCGACUGUUUACCAAAAACACAGCACUCUGCUAACUCGUAAGAGGAUGUAUAGGGUGUGACGCCUGCCCGGUGCUCGAAGGUUAAUUGAUGGGGUUAGCAUUAGCGAAGCUCUUGAUCGAAGCCCGAGUAAACGGCGGCCGUAACUAUAACGGUCCUAAGGUAGCGAAAUUCCUUGUCGGUUAAAUACCGACCUGCAUGAAUGGC
rnacentral:rRNA from 1 species